UUCUUCUUCUUCUUCUUCUUCUUCUUCUUCUUCUUCUUCUUUAUACCCCACUUUAUCUCCCUCGAAGGGAACUCAAAAUGUCUUUGACUCUGCAGUUCUACUCUCAGAUAUGUUUACAUUGUACUGGUUUUGUUAUCUUUUCAUCCCCUGAGGGGUCUGCCUUGGAUUUUGUUUUAAGAUGUAUAGGAGAAAUUGGGGCAAGGGAGCAAAACCAACAAACCCAUAUCAGGUCCAAAGAGUAAACAUUGAAAGGUAUCUCAAGAGUCAGGAAUGCAGAACGCCUAUCUUUUUGCCACAUUCAUGGAGUUCAAUUUUUGCACUCCCACCACCAACUAUGGCUGAGUCUCUCAUUAGACAAACUUGAAGUGGCUGCCUCAGGCAGCAGUCUUGAAGUGAUAUGGUAGAGCAGCAAUUUUUUCCCAACAAUUUCUCAUGAGUGUAUUUUUACUUUUAAACAUAAGGGAUUUCCUGCCUUCUAUGCAAAAAAUAAACCAUCUGGCUUUGGAUAAUAUGCAUGCAGACCUGGGUGGUUAGGAGCAGCAUUUGCUUUUUCUUGGGCAGACAAAUUGUCUUGGGUGAGCCCUGAUCACAGUCUAUAUUUAAAAGAUGCGCAAAUUGUAUCCUAUGACUACUUUGUAAUCCUCCUAGAUAUGAGUAAAAUAGGAGAGCUUAAAUUCUGUGUACAAAGGCUAAUCAAUCCCUAUUAAGAGAUCUUGGGUUUGCAGUCCUACUGAAGACAGCAAAAGACAGACAAGCCUGGCCAUCCAUCACUCACUACUAGGAAUGGGCGGAAGAUAGCCAUUCCUAUAUCUCUAAGCAGAACAGACAACCACAGAGGAAUUUGUCAUUCCACUUGGCAUGCUUUUAUACAUUUAUGCUAUGCUGCGGGUGUUUCCUUUAAUAUGUUUUUUUUUUGCUGUGCUAAAGGAAGCUUGCAGUUCUUGGCCUUAUAAGUACAUUUGCUGAGGCUGUGUGCUUGUAAUUCUAGAAGCAGAACAAGAAUUUCUAAACGUCAGAAGGAAUUUGAUUUUGCAGUGUUCUUAACAGGAGUCAAAAGACAAACAGUAUGUUAGCAUCUUGGAAACUAACUUUUUCAAAGUAACGUGAGAACUCAUAUGCGAUGGACAACUUUUAAUUGCUACAUAUUGCAGGAUGAGAAAGUGUUAUAGAUUCACUAUGGAAAAUUCAGCGCUGUCUGGAUUUUGAAAGAAAGGCUACUAGUUUUGGUUUGAGUCAUAUUCCAGUUCUUAAUCACUGUUAGAGUAGAACCAGAGAUGCAACUGUAAAUCAUUACCUUUGUAAAUCCUUUUGAUCGAAUGGGGUUACUCUCGUAGAGACUACCGGUUUAGGUCAUAAGAUCCUGUUUCAAGCAUGAGUUAUUUUAAAAGCAAAAAUUAUUUUAAAAACAAACCAACCCUAGAUACGUGAACAUUUAAUGUAUGGUCAUAAACUCAUCUUUAAAAAGAUCAGCACAAGCUUAGGGACAAACAUAAAUAGGAGCACAUAUUAGCCAGAGUGUCCAGCUCAUUUCUUCAAGAUCAUGUCCAUACAAUUACUACUACAAAUCCAUAAAACUUCUACAAAGCAACCAACAGUAUUGGAUCAAAUGUGUCAGUAGAUUUACAGUUGGAGGAAUAGUUAUAGACUCACUUUAAUGCCUUGAAACAAUAGUGAGCAGAAGGCAGGACUGGAUGCCCUGGUAAAUUUGUAUGCUUUUACCGUUUUUAAUGGUGUAUGUUUUUAACUACCUUUUAUUUUUAAUAAUUUACAUUAAUUUUCAAUUGUUGCAUAAUGUGAAUUUGUUUCAACUGUACUACAUCUAGUAACAAUAAUGAUGAUGGUAACCAUGCAGGAAGAGUAAUGGACUGGGAAGGGGUUCUCUUUCCAAUCUGGGCUCUAAAAUAGAAGUGAUUUGGGGUCCAAUACCUUGUAUUAGCCAACAUAUAUUCCCUAUAUCAGUGGUUCCCAACCUUUGGGCCUCUAGGUGUUUUGGAUUUCAACUCCUAGAAAUCCCAGCCAGCUUACCAUCUGUUAGGAACUGUGGGAGCUGAAAUCCAGAACACCUGGAGGCCCAAAGGUUGGGAAUCACUGUCCUAUAUGGUUGCAGAAAUGUCCUGGAGGUUUGAUUUCUCAUUCAUAUUUCACAAUGUUUUGUUAGACUUGUGGGAAAAAUGAAACUUGAGAAUGAUGCCUUAUUGAAUGACAACUUUAGAAAUUCUGCAACCAACUUCCCAUGCUGGCUGAUUUCAGAAAAUAAGGGCUUUUUAAUUCUUUAAGCCUAAAGUGUUCGAAUCAUAGAGUUGAAAGAGACCACAAGAGCCAUCAAGUCCAACUUCAAGUCAUGCAGAAAAAACACAAUGAAAGCACUUCUGACAGAUGGCCAUUCAUCCUGUUUUAAAACUUCCAGAAAAGGGGAUCCUACCACAUUUGGGGUCAGUAUAUUCUACUGUUAAACAGCUCUUACCCUCAGGAGGUCCUUUCUAAUAUUCAAGUGGAAUCCCAUGUCCUAGUCUCUACUAGAGCAGCAGAAAAUAAGCCAAUUUCAUCUUGAAUGUGACAUUCUUUCAAAUAUUUAAACAUUGCUAAAAAAUCUCUUCUUAACCUUUUCUUCUCUAAGUGAAACAAACCCAACUCCUUAACCUUGCUUUGACUCAAAAUUAUAGACAUCUUCUACCUCUAGAUGAGAACAGAGCAACCCAAAUUUCAGCCUAUUCAACUGCCUUCGAACACAUAUGAUUUUUUGAAAGAGGCCAGUCCAUGAUAUUCAAUUGUGUGCUUGUCUCCAUUUGUUUAACAAUUUUUAAACACGUCCAGUGAUCACAAAGAGGUUUCCUGGCUUUUCCAACUUUAAGUUCUGGCAGGACGUUCAGUGGAAGGAAAGAUAACAAAUGUGGGAGCAAAAGAAACUUUCUGAAAUGAAGGCUUCACUGACUUGAAUUUAAACAAUGGAAGAAUGGAAGGAAACAGCCUCUAAAGACCAUAGAAGUUGUCAACAGUGCCUGAAGAGUCUUUCUUUGAAAAGAAGUUGGUUCAGUUUUUCACUCCAUGCUCUGACAACCCGCUUCAGAUCAUAAAUGCCCUUUUCAGUUUAUAGACAAAAUGUUCCUUCCCUGGAACAUGACAUCCUGGAGGCUGUUCCAUGUAAAUUUCUACAAGAUGAAAGUAUGAGAAGGUUGAUUUAACAUCUAAGUGUUGAACAUCCAUUUGCUUUGAUGCAGCAAUAUUUAGGAGAGUUCUGAAAGUUGAGUAUAUAAUUUCUGGUGCAACAGUUUUAUUGUAAUCAUCAUCAUACUUGUGGUCAUAGUUUUUUUUAAUCUUUGGAUUACCCCUGUGUGGUAAAGGCCCAUCUAGAGCCAAAUGCCAUUUUAAAUUUGGGUAAUUCUGACCAAGUCGUUGUUUCAUUUUUAUGAAGAUGAAUAUUGUGAUUCUUCACUAAAAGCUUCUCAAUAUCAAACCCUUGGAAUCCCUUGAUAUUUUGCCUUUCCCCUAUGGCUAUAUAACAAAAUCUAUCUGCACAUCUUAACUGGAAUGCUGGGACCUUCUCACCUGAACUGGGAUACCUAGCUUGCUACCUGGUUCCUGAUCAUCUGGGAGGUCCUCUACAUUAGCAGACUAUUGUGGUGCAGUUGUUGUGGGCAUGCUAGUAGGAUGCAAGAUGCCUGGAAGAUGGAAGAGCUCUCCACAUUCUAGUUGGUGAUGGCGGCCUUCCCUUUCCAUUGCAAACCAAUCUGAAUAGCCAUCCUGAUUUGGAUUAGAUUUUCAACGUAGUCUUUCAUCAAUACUUAGCAUAAUGGAUAGAUAUUUUCUCCUUAUUUCUGCAGUCAACUUUUCACCCCUUCAGCUUGGAAAUAUAAAUAUAUGCUUUACAUCCAAAAACAAUGAAAUUACAGAUUAGGUCUGGCUUUUGAUAAGAGGCUGCAUAUCUGGAUUUAGUUGGCAGUGUCUUAUUUAAAUAUGUUGCAGUCAGUAUAGCCUCAGACCAGUAGUGUGCUGGCUUUUAAGAGCAUAGUUACUGCCAUCUCUUUCACAGUCCUAUUCCUCCUCUCUGCUAUAGCAUUCUACUCCAGGCUGUAAUCCUAUGUAGUUUGAUGCUCUAUGGCAUGCUGUUUGAAAAAUGCAUCAGGCUCAGCAAUGUUAAUGUACAGGCUCUUGGGUUUGUAGCCAAAUUUGUUAGAGAUGCAAUUAAAAUAUUAUUUGGAUUUUAAAUACUC